AACACAUGCAAGUCGAACGAGGUCCAUGCAGUGGCAACACUGCGGAAGACCUAGUGGCGAACGGGUGAGUAACACGUGAGGAACUUGCCCCGGAGACCGGGAUAACCCUCCGAAAGGAGAGCUAAUACCGGAUGUCCUCACCGAGUCGCAUGGCUUGGUGAGGAAAUGGAUUCCGCUCCGGGAGAGCCUCGCGGCCUAUCAGCUAGUUGGUGAGGUAACGGCCCACCAAGGCAUCGACGGGUAGCUGGUCUGAGAGGACGAUCAGCCACACUGGGACUGAGACACGGCCCAGACUCCUACGGGAGGCAGCAGUGGGGAAUCUUGCGCAAUGGGCGAAAGCCUGACGCAGCAACGCCGCGUGCGGGAUGAAGGCCUUCGGGUUGUAAACCCUUUUCAGUGGGGACGAACCAAGACGGUACCCACAGAAGAAGC
rnacentral:rRNA from 1 species